rnacentral:rRNA from 1 species
GAUGAACGCUAGCGGCAGGCUUAACACAUGCAAGUCGAGGGGCAGCGCGUCGUAGCAAUAUCCUGGCGGCGACCGGCGGAAGGGUGCGUAACGCGUGAGCGACAUGCCCGUUGCCCGGGGACAACCGGUGGAAACGCCGACUAAUCCCCGAUGGGAUACGAUGCUUCAUGGCAUUGUAUUGAAAGUUACGGCGGCGACGGAUUGGCUCGCGUCCGAUUAGCUUGUUGGCGGGGUAACGGCCCACCAAGGCUGCGAUCGGUAGGGGUUCUGAGAGGAAGGCCCCCCACAAUGGGACUGAGACACGGCCCAUACUCCUACGGGAGGCAGCAGUGAGGAAUAUUGGUCAAUGGGCGGAAGCCUGAACCAGCCAUGCCGCGUGCGGGAAGGAGGCCCUAUGGGCUGUGAACCGCUUUUGCCCGGGGGCAAUAAGGGCGUCGCGCACGUCCGAUGAGAGUACCAGGGGAAUAAGCAUCGGCUAACUCCGUGCCAGCAGCCGCGGUAAUACGGGGGAUGCGAGCGUUAUCCGGAUUCAUUGGGUUUAAAGGGUGCGUAGGCUGUGCGUCAAGUCAGGGGUGAAAUUCCGGGGCUCAACUCCGGGGCUGCCCUUGAUACUGUCGCGCUGGAGUGCGGAUGCCGCCGGAGGA